AUUUAAUGGUACGCGCCGGGGCCAAGGCCGCACCGUGCUGGGCGGGGGUCUGGAGAGCGCAGCAGCCAUGGCCAGCCAUCUCGUGCUCAACAAUGGCGCCAAGAUGCCCAUCCUGGGGCUGGGUACCUGGAAGUCCCCUCCAGGGCAGGUUACUGAGGCCGUGAAGGUGGCCAUUGACGUCGGGUACCGCCACAUCGACUGUGCCCAUGUGUACCAGAAUGAGAAUGAGGUGGGGGUGGCCAUUCAGGAGAAGCUCAGGGAGCAGGUGGUGAAGCGUGAGGAGCUCUUCAUCGUCAGCAAGCUGUGGUGCACGUACCAUGAGAAGGGCCUGGUGAAAGGAGCCUGCCAGAAGACACUCAGCGACCUGAAGCUGGACUACCUGGACCUCUACCUUAUUCACUGGCCGACUGGCUUUAAGCCUGGGAAGGAAUUUUUCCCACUGGAUGAGUCAGGCAGUGUGGUUCCCAGUGACACCAACAUUCUGGACACGUGGGCGACACUUUUCUCUGUAGGCCAUGGAAGAGCUGGUGGAUGAAGGGCUGGUGAAAGCUAUUGGCAUCUCCAACUUCAACCAUCU
rnacentral:sRNA from 1 species